CGUUUAGGGGUAAACCUGAGAAACCCGAAAGGUCGAAGGGAGAAAUUCAUUCGCGUUUCGACGUUGGCGUUGAGCGGAGUUGUGUGACGAGGAGUACGCAAGUAUUCUUUGCGCCCUUCGUUUUUCGAUCCGGCGACGAACGCGUGCACUUUUCUCCUGGUAGGACGUCGCGAUCCGUUGGGCGUCGGUCUACGGCCGGUGGUGGAGCCCGUCCGUUGUUGCUUCACGGUGACGACGAGCGGACCCGCCGGUUCUAAUUCUGUCUGGCCGACUCGCUCGACGGUAUACGAAAGGUUAAGAGUCGCUCACUUUAUGUAGCGUUCGACUCGUGGCAAGCGCGCCAGAUGUUUGUUGGCAAUCGGACCUGGUGCCGAUUCCGACCUCUGGUGACUGUUGGCUUCACGAUGUUCUCGAACAGACUACUCUAUGACCGAUCUGCGGCGCUAUAGCUUUGGGUAAUUUCAGGACCCGUCUUGAAACACGGACCAAGGAGUCUAGCAUGUACGCGAGUCAUUGGGAAUAUUACUAAACCUAAAGGCGUAAUGAAAGUAAAGGUCUUCCUUUGCGGAGACCGAGGGAAGACGAGCCGUAACAAGUUCCGCAUUCCCGGGGCGUCUCGUUCUCAUUGCGAGAAGAGGCGCACCAAGAGCGUACACGCUGGGACCCGAAAGAUGGUGAACUAUGCCUGGUCAGGACGAAGUCAGGGGAAACCCUGAGGAGGUCCGUAGCGAUUCUGACGUGCAAAUCGAUCGUCGGAACUGGGUAUAGGGGCGAAAGACUAAUCGAACCAUC
rnacentral:rRNA from 1 species